AGUAGUGAAACGACAAACAAAAUUCUGUGCGAAACAUUUGUUUUAUCUCAUUCCAAAAUAAACAAUCUUCUAUUUAAAAUUUUGUAGUGAAUCCCCAAUUUGCAAAUUGUAAAUCCCCGUUUUUAUUUAACGUCAGUAUGGAAUACCAUGCAACACUUUGAAUAAACUAGGUGAUUUUAUUCCUUCAGUUAAUACAUUGCUUGCAGAACUUCUCUUUUCAUUCAUUAGACAGAAGUUUGGCCACAAGUCAUAACUUUGAUGAAAGCCAAAUACCACAGGAAUACACACUCUCAAGUAGGGAUAUUGAUUCAUGGGAGGAAUCUAUUUUCUUUACUUGCCAGAAACACAAAAAAUGAUGCACCGUACAUUUUUAUCAAUGUAUCCUCGAUCUUUCUUUUUUUCAGUUGAUUUUUAAUGCAACGAAAUUGCCAAAAAAUUUUAAACCCUUCUAAAGACUUUUGAAAUAUUGUUAAAAUUAUAGCUUAUUUAAUCGGUAUACCACAAAUUUUCA